rnacentral:rRNA from 1 species
UACGAAGGGGGCUAGCGUUGCUCGGAAUCACUGGGCGUAAAGGGUGCGUAGGCGGGUUUUUAAGUCAGGGGUGAAAUCCUGGAGCUCAACUCCAGAACUGCCUUUGAUACUGAAGAUCUUGAGUCCGGGAGAGGUGAGUGGAACUGCGAGUGUAGAGGUGAAAUUCGUAGAUAUUCGCAAGAACACCAGUGGCGAAGGCGGCUCACUGGCCCGGUACUAGACGCUGAGGCACGAAAGCGUGGGAGCAACAGGAUUAGA